AGAGUCCAGCGCAUAACCUCCCGGGCUACCAAGCCUGUGGCGGAAUGUUGCGUUAAGGGAAAGGUCGUUUAUAUGCCCCGCGCAGCGUGUUCCUAAAUACGCCUUGAAUAUUCACUGAUUCUUAACGGAGUCAACGGUUCCACAGAGGGUGACAGACCCGUGCGGCCACGUGAUUAUUUGCGCAUGGGUUCGGCUUCUAUUCCCGGAGAGUCGCGUUGCUUGAGAAUGCAGCGCUAAGCAGGUCGUAAACUCGACCUAAGACUAAAUAUCUCCACAGAACCGAUAGCAAACAAGUACCGUGAGGGAAAGUUGAAAAGCACUCUGAAGAGAGAGUCAAAAGACCGUGAAACCGUUUAGAGUAUAAUCCAAUGGUAUUCCGGAAGGCCGGAGCGAGACCCCUGACCUUGUGGAUCCAUGGGUACCGUGUGUGAUAAGUCAUAAGGCGGAUGUGGAAAAAGUGGCAUUGAGUUGAUAACACACCAAGGUUAACUUGCGGGUCUCUGACAGUGGUAACAGGGGAAGCUCCAAUGCGGAGUGGAACCGAGGCUGGACUUGAGCAAGCAUCCGUUUAUGAUCACACUAACGAGUCGCUUAAAUGGCCCACCACAACUCUUUGUAAGGUCACCCGUACUAAGGCUUGAAAUGUGCGUUGUCGUGUGCGAGCCCUCGGCCUUCAAAUUGUGCGCUGUCGAGGCCGGCCGACUUCCUCUUGCCUUCCAAAGUACGUUUGGUAUGAUCCUAUGCGAAGAGUUGCUUUCUGGCACAUCCAAGAUAUUCGGUGGGGAACGUUGCAUUAACGGGACCUCUAGAAAGGGUGUACGGCGAUGGCCUCUCUGCCUGUCCUGUUAUCCGUGAGGGUGAAUGGUGAUAAUUUCCGGGACCAUUGGUCACGUCUCGAAACACGGGCCAAGGAGCAUAGCAUGUGCGCAAGUCUAAGGGUCUCACAAAACCCGGUGGCGAAGUGAAAGCAAAUGGUGUGUCCGUUGUUGUCGUUGGUGGCGGCGGCGGGCAGUCUGCGACGGUGUAAUUCCUAUUUGGAUGUAUGCACCGCCGGCUUAUACUGGGCUUAUCCAACGUAAAUAAGACAUAAUGUCGAUGCGAUGGCGCCAGCCCCAGGCUUUCUGACAACACUCGCCGUGUGUUUGGAAGCACUGUAUAGCGUGCAUGCUAUAACCCGAAAGAUAGUGAACUAUGCCUGGCGA
rnacentral:rRNA from 1 species